UACAAAGAGAAGCAAGACCGCGAGGUUUAGCAAAUCUCUUAAAGCCGUUCUCAGUUCGGAUUGUAGGCUGCAACUCGCCUACAUGAAGUCGGAAUCGCUAGUAAUCGCGGAUCAGCAUGCCGCGGUGAAUACGUUCCCGGGCCUUGUACACACCGCCCGUCACACCAUGAGAGUUUGUAACACCCAAAGCCGGUGGGGUAACCUUUUGGAGCCAGCCGUCUAAGGUGGGACAGAUGAUUAGGGUGAAGUCGUAACAAGGUAUC
rnacentral:rRNA from 1 species